CAUAGUUCAGUUGGUUAGAGCACUGGAUUGUGGUUCCAGUUGUCGUGGGUUCGAGUCCCACUG
rnacentral:tRNA from 1 species